AAGCAAAGACAAACCCUCAUACCUUCUGCACGAUGUACUAACUAGAAAUAACUUUAUACAGAGAACCACAGCCAAGUCCCCCGAAACCAGACGAGCUACCCAAGAACUGCUGAAAGAGCACACCCACCUAUGUUGCAAAAUAGUGGGACGAUUCAUGAGUAGAGGUGACAAGCCUACUGAGCCUGGCGAUAGCUGGUUGUCCAAGGUAGAAUCUUAGUUCAACUUUAAACUUAGCCACAGAAUUACUUAAUCUUCCUGUAAAUUUAACUGUUAGUCUAAAAAGGAACAGCUCUUUAGACCCUAGGAAAAAAUAUUCCUACACAGAGUAACUAAUAUUAUACCAUAAUUGGCCCAAAAGCAACCACCAAUUAAGAAAGUGUUCAGCUGGGCAUGGUGGCUCACGCCUGUUAUCCCAGCACUUUGGGAGGGAGAGGCGGGUGGAUCACCUGAGGUUAGGAGUUCGAGAGCAGCCUGACCAACAUGGUGAAACCUCAUCUCUACUAAAAGUACAAAAAUUAGCUGGGCAUGGUGGCACACACCAGUAAUCCCAACUACUUGGGAGGCUGAGGCAGGAAAAUCGCUUGAACCAGGGAGGUGGAGGUUGCAGUAAGCCAAGAUCGUGCCAUUACACUCCAGCCUGGGUGACAGAGUGAGACUCUGUCUUAAAAAAAAAAAAAAAGAAAGUGUUCAAGCUCAACAUCUAACUAUUUUAAAUUCUAAUCACUCUACUGAACUCCUAACAUCACAUUGGACUUAUCUGUUACUUAAUAGAAGCAAUAAUGUUAAUAUAAGUAACCUGAAGAUAUUCUCUAUUGCAUAAGCUUACAUUAGAUCAGAAUAAUCCACUGGCAGUUAGCAGCCUAAUAUUAAUAAGUAAUAUAAUAAACACCCUAUUAUUUACACGGUUGAUUCAACACAGGUAUGCUCUAAGAUUACAAAGUGAAAGGAACUCAGCAAAUCUUACCCCGCCUGUUUACCAAAAGCAUCACCUCUAGUAUUACCAGUAUUAGAAGCACUGCCUGCCUAGUGACAUGCUCAACAGCUGCGGUAUCCUGACCCUGCAAAGGUAGCAUAAUCACUUGUUCCCUAAAUAGGGACCUGUAUGAAUGGCCACAUGAGGGUUCAGCUGUCUCUUACUUUUAGUCAGUGAAAUUG
rnacentral:ncRNA from 1 species